CGCACGGGUGAGUAACACGUAUCCAACCUGCCGUCUACUCUUGGACAGCCUUCUGAAAGGAAGAUUAAUACAAGAUGGCAUCAUGAGUCCGCAUGUUCACAUGAUUAAAGGUAUUCCGGUAGACGAUGGGGAUGCGUUCCAUUAGAUAGUAGGCGGGGUAACGGCCCACCUAGUCUUCGAUGGAUAGGGGUUCUGAGAGGAAGGUCCCCCACAUUGGAACUGAGACACGGCCCAGACUCCUACGGGAGGCAGCAUG
rnacentral:rRNA from 1 species